UACGUAGGGUGCGAGCGUUGUCCGGAAUUAUUGGGCGUAAAGAGCUCGUAGGCGGUUUGUCGCGUCGGCCGUGAAAUCUCCACGCUUAACGUGGAGCGUGCGGUCGAUACGGGCGGACUUGAGUUCGGUAGGGGAGACUGGAAUUCCUGGUGUAGCGGUGAAAUGCGCAGAUAUCAGGAGGAACACCGGUGGCGAAGGCGGGUCUCUGGGCCGAUACUGACGCUGAGGAGCGAAAGCGUGGGGAGCGAACAGG
rnacentral:rRNA from 1 species